rnacentral:rRNA from 1 species
CCAGACUCCUACGGGAGGCAGCAGUGGGGAAUAUUGCACAAUGGGGGAAACCCUGAUGCAGCGACGCCGCGUGAGUGAAGAAGUAUUUCGGUAUGUAAAGCUCUAUCAGCAGGGAAGAAAAUGACGGUACCUGACUAAGAAGCCCCGGCUAACUACGUGCCAGCAGCCGCGGUAAUACGUAGGGGGCAAGCGUUAUCCGGAUUUACUGGGUGUAAAGGGAGCGUAGGUGGCAUGGUAAGCCAGAAGUGAAAACCCGGGGCUCAACCCCGCGGAUUGCUUUUGGAACUAUCAGGCUGGAGUGCUGGAGGGGUAAGCGGAAUUCCUAGUGUAGCGGUGAAAUGCGUAGAUAUUAGGAGGAACACCGGUGGCGAAGGCGGCUUACUGGACAGAAACUGACACUGAGGCUCGAAAGCGUGGGGAGCAAACAGGAUUAGAUACCCUAGUA